UACGUAGGCAGCGAGCGUUGUUCGGAGUUACUGGGCGUAAAGAGUGCGUAGGCGGUUUUCUAAGUUUGGUGUGAAAUCUCCCGGCUUAACUGGGAGGGUGCGACGAAAACUGGAAGGCUUGAGUAUGGGAGAGGUAAGCGGAAUUCCUGGUGUAGCGGUGAAAUGCGUAGAUAUCAGGAGGAACACCUGCGGUGUAGACGGCUUACUGGACCAUAACUGACGCUGAGGCACGAAAGCGUGGGUAGCAAACAGG
rnacentral:rRNA from 1 species